UGUGUGUGUGUGUGUGUGUGUGUGUGUGUAUGUAUAUGUGUGUAUAUGUGUGUGUGUGUGUAUACACACACACACACACACACACACACACACA